rnacentral:rRNA from 1 species
GACAGAGGGUGCAAACGUUGUUCGGAUUUACUGGGCGUAAAGCGCGUGUAGGCGGCUUCGUAAGUUGGAUGUGAAAUCCCACGGCUCAACCGUGGACGUGCAUCCAAAACUACGUCGCUGGAGUCUCGGAGAGGAAGGUGGAAUGCUUGGUGUAGAGGUGAAAUUCGUAGAUAUCAAGCAGAACACCUGCGGCGAAGGCGGCCUUCUGGACGAUGACUGACGCUGAGACGCGAAAGCGUGGGGAGCGAACAGG